rnacentral:rRNA from 1 species
UACGUAGGGUGCAAGCGUUGUCCGGAAUUAUUGGGCGUAAAGAGCUCGUAGGCGGUCUGUCGCGUCGGCUGUGAAAACUCGGGGCUCAACCCCGAGCCUGCAGUCGAUACGGGCAGACUAGAGUGCUGUAGGGGAGACUGGAAUUCCUGGUGUAGCGGUGAAAUGCGCAGAUAUCAGGAGGAACACCGGUGGCGAAGGCGGGUCUCUGGGCAGCAACUGACGCUGAGGAGCGAAAGCGUGGGGAGCGAACAGG